rnacentral:rRNA from 1 species
CCUACGGGUGGCAGCAGUGGGGGAUAUUGCACAAUGGGGGAAACCCUGAUGCAGCGACGCCGCGUGUGGGAAGACGGUCCUCUGGAUUGUAAACCACUGUCCCCAGGGACGAAGAUGACGGUACAUGGAGAGGAAGCUCCGGCUAACUACGUCCCAGCAGCCGCGGUAAUACGUAGGGAGCAAGCGUUGGCCGGAAUUACUGGGUGAAAAGGGAGCGGAGGCGGGAAGGGAAGUUGGGUGUUAAAUCUACCGGCUCAACUGGUAGUCGCACUCCAUACUGAUAUUCUUGAGUGAAGUAGGGGCAGGCAGAAUUCCUAGUGUAGCGGUGAAAUGCGUAGAUAUUAGGAGGAACACCAGUGGCGAAGGCGGCCUGCUGGGCUUUUACUGACGCUGAGGUUCGAAAGUGUGGGGAGCAAACAGGAUUAGAUACCCGUGUAGUC